AAAAUAGAUCCUAGCCGCCCAAUUGAUGGGCCCGAGAUAGGAGAGAGAGAUCGACCUCCAUCAUCCGUACACCGCCAACCAGUAUAACAGACUGAAGAAGAAGCUUUCCCUUGUUUUCCGUAGCCCCCUUCGUUAGUUUGGGUUUCAAGGUAAAGAUUCCUCUGGUUUUGGCCUCGGUUUUGGAGAAUUUUCCAAUGAAAAUCAUGGGCUUCGAUGAAGCCACUUCGUAAAUUUUCCACAUAGGGAAGAAGGGGAAGUGUUCACUGUUCAUUCCUCAAUCGUCCCUGAGAUCAGCUCUGAUCAGCCGCACCACCACCAUUGUUCCAUGCUUUAAAGCCAAGGUUGAACAUGACAGUGUGGUACAUUUAGAGUGGGAUCCUGCUGGCAUGCUCCUGCCCUUUGGACCUGCUGAUGCUUGCUGAGGUUGCAGAGUUGUGGAGAGCUUGUUAGGUAUGAAAAUUUAUUGUGGAUGGCGUCGCCUUCCACAAUAAAUGCACCAUACUGUCAAGGUUGAAGAUCUCCCCAAAAAACAUGAUAAGAAAUUUGAUCAUCUGGUUUUGGGGCGUGCUGCUGGUUAAGGUUUACCUAACUGCUUGCAGUGUCAAGGUCUCAAAGCUUUGCACAAGACCCACUUGUCAUCCCCAUCUCAUUUUGCCACUUUUGGAGACACUGUUUCUUUUGUUUCUGUGUUAGCUGUCCCCAACAUCUCUUCCCAUUCUUAUGAUGAUAAGUCAUCAAACUUGGUUACUGUCGGGAACGCUUCAUAUGGUAAAGCAAAGAGGUCAAUGGCUAUUCUGCAUGCCUUCAUUAACUUCAUUCAGGUUUCUAUGCCCCAGAGCAAUGUAAUCAUUCUCACUGAUCCUGCUUUUGAACUUUCAGUGGGAAAAAACAGUGUCACUGUAUUUCCAAUUCAAGGUGAAUAUUCGAGAGACAAAUUGAUGCUUCAACGAAUCAAAUCGUAUAUUAUAAGAGUGCAUGCCUUGAUGUAUAAGUUUACAUUUUUAUUUCAGUUUGUAUAAUGCAGAAGCAAAAUCCGAUGUGUUUUGAUGUGGUUUAAUCUUAAAAUAGGGCCUUAGAUUUGUAUUUUGUUAAUUGGGAGUAUUGUAGUACCCUGGGCCCAAACUAUAGAUAAGUUUUAAGUUAGAAGUAGUUUAGUUUUGAAUUUUUUUGUGGGCCCCAAUGGUUGGAUGUAUAGGGGAGUGUGUAGUGACCUGGGCCCAAUCUAUUAGUUUUCUUUUGUUAGAAGAUUAUUUAUAUAGGGCUCUGCAAGCUGUCCUAGUCGUGGGAUAGAAGAUUAUUUAUCAUGGAACUCAUUUCCUUUUGUUGUCGGUUUGCAUGCAUUUCACAAUUUAAAUGGGCUAGAAGGCAAUUACCUGAUGCUUCAUAUUUUCUUGCUUGGUGAUGAUUUCUGUGGUUGUUGAGCACCUUAGGAUUAUCUUGAAAUAUCGGUUAAGGAAUUACCCAUUGUUGCUGCAACUUUAAUCUCAGUACUAGUCUAUGGGAACCAUAUUAGUCACAUUACUUUUAUAACUGGUCGUAUGUUCAUCUGUACAGGCUUAUGUAGAAAGAAGGCUUAAGGAGUAUUCAGAGAGAGUGGACCAUGUUAAUCAUUAUAUCUUUACAGAUUCUGAUGUGGCAGUGGUUGAUGAUCUUGGACCAAUGUUUCAGAAAUAUCCAUAUUUUUUUUGGCUCUAACUUUUCAGAAUAACAAAAAUCAACCCUUAAAUUCAGGAUUUAUUGCAAUGAGGGGCACAACUGAUGGAAUUCUAAGGUCAGUGACUUGAAUCCCAUUUGUCAUUCUCAGGUGUCUUUGGUUAGAGGUGAAGGGAGUGAAAAUGGUAUUGAGUUUCAGUGGAACAGCAUCUCUCAUAGUGUUAGAUUGGAAAACAAGAAAAAAGAACCUGGAAUGUCAUGCCUCCACUAGUUUCAAAAAAUUCACUCGACAAUCCUUUUCCCCUUUGAUUUUGAAGUGAUACCUGAAUGUAAUUUUGUAUCCAACCAAAACCCCAUUUAAAGAUGCUUUCUUUCCACACUUUAGAGUUCAAAACUUUUUCUUCACUUCUAAACAAACACUAGCCUUUCUAAGUGCUUAAUUCAUUAUCUGCAGGGCAAAGCUCUUUCUACAAAAAGUGCUGGAAAUUUACAGUUCCAAAUUCAUGAAAGCUUCCCGAAUGCUAGGAGACCAGUUAGCUCUGGCUUGGGUUGUAAAGUCCCAUCCUUCAUUUGAUUCAAAGAGGUUUACCAGACAACAAGCCUUUAUGGAUGAGAUUCAUGGAGCAUCGGUGCUAUUUCUACCUUGUGCCUUGUACAAUUGGACACCACCUGAGGGUGCAGGGCAAUUUCAUGGCAUGCCCUUAGAUGUAAAGGGUGGUUGCGUCCUAGGGACCUAUUGUUCAAUGGGCCGUAUGUAGGAUACUUUUCCCCCAGUUUAUUGUACCUAGUACCUGGUUGGUGGGCCUCAGCACAAUGGUAAGAUUGCUCCAUUUUGAU